rnacentral:piRNA from 1 species
UGGCAGAUCUGGCAAUCAGCAGCAGCUGUAGCCA